GGAUGAUGGUGUGUAAGAAUGAUGAAGAAAUCAUUCGGAUUCCCACUGAUAUUUAUUUGUGAUUACCACAACCAGCUACUUCUGACUUCACAUCCCUUUUUCAGAUUUUAAUUUUUAUAUGGAUUUGGAAUUUGACAAUUUGAAACCUUUUUCAGAUUUUAAUUUUUAUAUGGAUUUGGAAUUUGAUAAUUUGAAACAAAAAGGGCCUGUGAUGUAAGUAAAUAUUUGCUACUCUUGAUGGAAAUUUAAAUUUCCAUCUGAUGAUUCUCUAUCCACCAAGAUCUCUGAGGCCUU
rnacentral:snoRNA from 1 species